rnacentral:rRNA from 1 species
UACAGAGACUGCAAGCGUUACUCGGAUUCACUGGGCGUAAAGGGAGCGCAGGCGGACUCGUGUGUCGGAUGUGAAACCCGGGGGCUCAACUCCCGGACUGCGUCUGAAACUGCGAUUCUAGGGACUCGGAGGGGCUAGUGGAAUUCUUGGUGGAGCAGUGAAAUGCGUAGAUAUCAAGAGGAACACCAACGGCGAAGGCAGCUAGCUGGACGAGAUCCGACGCUCAGGCUCGAAAGUAUGGGGAGCAAAAAGG